AGAGUUUGAUCCUGGCUCAGAGCGAACGCUGGCGGCAGGCCUAACACAUGCAAGUCGAACGGGCGUAGCAAUACGCUAGUGGCAGACGGGUGAGUAACACGUGGGAACAUGCCCUUCGGUUCGUGAAUAACUCAGGGCAAACUUGAGCUAAUACCGGAUACGUCCGAGAGGAGAAAGAUUUAUCGCCGAAGGAUUGGCCCGCGUCUGAUUAGCUUGUUGGUGAGGUAACGGCUCACCAAGGCGACGAUCAGUAGCUGGUCUGAGAGGAUGAUCAGCCACACUGGGACUGAGACACGGCCCAGACUCCUACGGGAGGCAGCAGUGGGGAAUAUUGGACAAUGGGCGCAAGCCUGAUCCAGCCAUGCCGCGUGAGUGAUGAAGGCCCUAAGGUUGUAAAGCUCUUUUAUCCGGGAAGAUAAUGACUGUACCGGUAAGAAUAAGCCCCGGCUAACUUCGUGCCAU
rnacentral:rRNA from 1 species